rfam:Erinaceus europaeus unplaced genomic scaffold scaffold00235, whole genome shotgun sequence
GAAGCAUUCCGUAUUUUUUAAUUGAAACGAUAUAGAGAAGAUUAGCAUGGCCCCUGUGCAAAAGAAGAGGGAUUAAUUUAUAGGAGAAAAAUAUAUCU